GGUGUUCGGGGUGGCCGGAAGCGUCGUGGCCGCAGUGGGCGCGGUAGGGGGCGGACUGAUCGACCACCGGAUCGGCUCGAAGCCGGUGAUCGUCGC
rnacentral:tRNA from 3 species